GACGAACGCUGGCGGCGUGCUUAACACAUGCAAGUCGAACGGAAAGGCCCUGCUUUUGUGGGGUGCUCGAGUGGCGAACGGGUGAGUAACACGUGAGUAACCUGCCCUUGACUUUGGGAUAACUUCAGGAAACUGGGGCUAAUACCGGAUAGGAGCUCCUGCUGCAUGGUGGGGGUUGGAAAGUUUCGGCGGUUGGGGAUGGACUCGCGGCUUAUCAGCUUGUUGGUGGGGUAGUGGCCUACCAAGGCUUUGACGGGUAGCCGGCCUGAGAGGGUGACCGGCCACAUUGGGACUGAGAUACGGCCCAGACUCCUACGGGAGGCAGCAGUGGGGAAUAUUGCACAGUGGGCGGAAGCCUGAUGCAGCAACGCCGCGUGCGGGAUGACGGCCUUCGGGUUGUAAACCGCUUUCGCCUGUGACGAAGCGUGAGUGACGGUAAUGGGUAAAGAAGCACCGGCUAACUACGUG
rnacentral:rRNA from 1 species